rnacentral:rRNA from 1 species
GAUGAACGCUAGCGGCAGGCCUAAUACAUGCAAGUCGGACGGGAUUCAGGAGCUUGCUUCUGAUGAGAGUGGCGCACGGGUGCGUAACACGUAUGUAACCUACCUUUAUCAGGGGGAUAGCCUCUCGAAAGAGAGAUUAAGCCCGCAUAAAAUCACAGCACAGCAUUGUGUAAUGAUCAAAUAUUUAUAGGACAAAGAUGGGCAUGCGGAACAUUAGCUAGAUGGCGGGGUAACGGCCCACCAUGGCGACGAUGUUUAGGGGAUCUGAGAGGAUGGCCCCCCACACUGGUACUGAGACACGGACCAGACUCCUACGGGAGGCAGCAGUAAGGAAUAUUGGUCAAUGGGCGGAAGCCUGAACCAGCCAUGCCGCGUGCAGGAAGACGGCCCUACGGGUUGUAAACUGCUUUUAUACGGGAAUAAACCCAGAUACGUGUAUCUGGCUGAAUGUACUGUAAGAAUAAGGAUCGGCUAACUCCGUG